AGCUCUUAGGAAAGAUGACUGUUGUGUUUCCAUCUGGAGCAGCUGAGCAGCCCGAUUUAUGCCUCUGGAAUUCAGCAGAGAGAAAGCCCUGUGCACAUUCACCCCUAACUGCAUCCUGCCCUCCCACUUUCAAUUUAGCAGCACCAACACUGCAAAAAGCCAACCCACAGACUCCAAACUGAGGCUGAGAGGAGGAAGAUGAGCGGUUCCCUCAGAGUGGCUGAUGCUGCAGGAGUGAUGCACGAAUCUCACAUUGAAAUUUAAGUUCUGGACCUUGAAAGUAAUAGGGUUGUUCUGCAAUUUCCCACUCUGCAAGGAUGGCUCAGUGCCUGGGGUUGCUGUCAUGUCAUUCCUUUUGGGAACCUUUUCAGGUGAAGUCAGUGCAGGUGACCUCCACCUUCAUCAGAACAGCACUGGUGUGACUGUGGGCUGCUGGAUUCUUAAUUGCUCAUAGCAUUUUCCCUGUCUCUCCAUCAGUAGUGCUCCGCCAGUGUGCUGAGUUACAUCUGAGUGUUGUAAUGCAGCUGAGCUGAAUAAUCCCUGCGGAUAGGAAGAGGAGAUGGAUGCACUCUCCUCAGGAAGAAGAGUCCAAGAGGAUGAUAGCUACGAUCCAGCUGGACCUGCAAGUCAACACCAUUCCCGGAUUUAGCCGAGAACUUUGGCAGUUUUUGAGGUGCUUGGGAUUUUGCCCUGGAUCCACAGUGUAAGGAAUGGCUGCUGCCCAGAUUUGCAAGGUGUGGUGCGGCCACUGCUGCUGAUGCCAAUAGUCAAGGAGAGGGGAAUGAAACCUGCUGAGGCUUGGGAAUGAAACAAAUCAGCAUUAAUUAAAAGCAAAUGCUAUGUGUUGACUAAGAGGUUCCAAAGCAGAUGUUUGUCAAAAUCGCCAGGAGAUGGGUCAUCUGAAAGCAGAACUAAUAAAUAAUGAGAGCGACGUUUCUAGUCAUUUCAUGUUUUCUCAGGUCAAAACCAGGUGUCAGUCAGUGCUGGAAGUAUCACAGAGUGAAACACGUUGUGUUGUUACACUGCAGGGAGCUCCAUGCCGCCAUCUCUGUGUUUGUGACCCAUGCACUCAAACCACAGUGCACCUACAGACCCGUGGCAGCAUUACAUGCACAGCUGGCAGCAUGCUGGGCAGGCCCUCACAUCACUCCUGCUCCACCAAAUGGCUCUCUGCAAUUUUAUGCUCAGGUGGAUGCAUGUUGGAAUGGCAUUGGGUCUCCAUCCCUCUCUGGAAGCAGCACAGAAGAAUCCAGGCAGCUCAGUCUAUUCUGUCCUGGGAUACAUCAGAAAGAGAUGAAGAAACGUCCAGCUGUGAUGCAAACCAACUUUUCCAGUUUUCAUUUCUACAACGUUAAACAUAUUCCAUGGAAAGACUUCAGGCACAGAAUUACUUGGGCCAUGUGGAGGGAGAUGGCAGCUGUGUCCCAACCGUUCACAGCGCGUGGUCUUCUACAGUUCUUUGGUUUUGGUCCUGCCUUCAUCAGCAAGACAAAGACGCGAACAGGAGGAGACCCCCAGCUCCGUGGUGCAGUCGAGGUUCCAGCACCCAGGAGCAGUGGCUGUGGCACACUGGGUCAGGCACAGGGCACACGCUGCUCUGCCCCAGCUCUGCUUGUACUUGCUGUGGUUCUCUGCAGGGAGCUCCUUCCCCAUCUGCCAACCCAGAGUGCCAAAGGGGCUGCGAUUGAGGCUCUCCCCAUCCAUGCAUAUCUCCAGUGCACAUCCCCAUCCCCAGGACUCAGAACCAGUGCUCAGAGCAUUUUUCUUCACCAGUGA
ensembl:lncRNA